AACGAACGCUGGCGGCAGGCCUAACACAUGCAAGUCGAGCGCCCUUUCGGGGGAGCGGCGGACGGGUGAGUAACGCGUGGGAAUAUGCCCUUCUCUACGGAAUAGCCUCGGGAAACUGAGAGUAAUACCGUAUACGCCCUGUGGGGGAAAGAUUUAUCGGGGAAGGAUUAGCCCGCGUUGGAUUAGGUAGUUGGUGGGGUAAUGGCCUACCAAGCCGACGAUCCAUAGCUGGUGUGAGAGGAUGAUCAGCCACACUGGGACUGAGACACGGCCCAGACUCCUACGGGAGGCAGCAGUGGGGAAUCUUAGACAAUGGGGGCAACCCUGAUCUAGCCAUGCCGCGUGAGUGAUGAAGGCCUUAGGGUUGUAAAGCUCUUUCAGCUGGGAAGAUAAUGACGGUACCAGCAGAAGAAGCCCCGGCUAACUCCGUG
rnacentral:rRNA from 1 species